GGCCUCGUAGCUCAUCUGGUAGAGCGUGUACAGUGCAAACACGUAGGCGGCGUCCGUGCGUGGAUUCGAAUCCCACCGAGGCUA
rnacentral:tRNA from 1 species